GUACCAACUUACAAAAAUUAAGUAUAGCGGGGCAGACUGUAAAUCUGCUAGCUAUGCUUUCAGUGGUUCGAAUCCACUCCCUACCACCA
rnacentral:tRNA from 1 species